rnacentral:rRNA from 1 species
UACAGAGGGUGCAAGCGUUAAUCGGAGUUACUGGGCGUAAAGCGCACGUAGGCGGAUUGUUAAGUCGGGGGUGAAAUCCUGGAGCUCAACUCCAGAACUGCCUUCGAUACUGGCGAUCUCGAGUCCGGGAGAGGUGAGUGGAACUGCGAGUGUAGAGGUGAAAUUCGUAGAUAUUCGCAAGAACACCAGUGGCGAAGGCGGCUCACUGGCCCGGUACUGACGCUGAGGUGCGAAAGCGUGGGGAGCAAACAGG